CAUGGGACUUGCUUAAAAAAAAUGCAUUUCUGUAGUAAAUCCAAGAAUGUUAUCCACAUUUCUUAAUCCCUAAAAAUGAAAACAUACUGCGCUAUAUAAAAAGGAAACAGAAGUGAGGUGACGCUACUCCCACCCUAUUAAUAUAUUCUGGUGUUUGGUUUGUUCUCCUGGGUUACUUCAAUUUCCCACCGAGCUUUCAUGACCAAUGCCUUGACUGUUGAUUCAAAACUCGUGUUGACUGAAGGGUGCACUCAAUCCCACCAUUGGUGUCAUUGAUGAAGAUGUUAAAGAGCACCGGUCCAAGUAAUGACCCUUGUGGGACACCACUUGUCACCAAUCUCCGUCUGGACAUUGAGCCAUUGGCCACCACUCUCUGGUUACGAUCUCAUGACCAGUUUCUCAUCCAUCAAAGAGUUUACCCAUCAAAUCCAUAUAUUUCCAAUUAGGAGAGAAGGAUGUUGUGUGUGACCAUGUCAAAGACCCUACCGAAUCCAGGAGCUGGAGGCUUGCGUUCAUCUCCCCUUGAUACAGCUGACAGAAGUGCAGGGUUGCCAUGGGCUUCCUUGACAGUCAAUAAG
ensembl:lncRNA